GUGCCAGCCGCCGCGGUAAUACGGAGGAUCCAAGCGUUAUCCGGAUUUAUUGGGUUUAAAGGGUGCGUAGGCGGCUUAUUAAGUCAGGGGUGAAAGACGGUGGCUCAACCAUCGCAGUGCCUUUGAUACUGAUGAGCUUGAAUACACUUGAGGUAGGCGGAAUGUGACAAGUAGCGGUGAAAUGCAUAGAUAUGUCACAGAACACCAAUUGCGAAGGCAGCUUACUAAGGUGCAAUUGACGCUGAGGCACGAAAGCGUGGGGAUCAAACAGGAUUAGAAACCCCAGUAGUCC
rnacentral:rRNA from 1 species